rnacentral:rRNA from 1 species
UNUGACUUGAGUGCAGAAGGGGAGAGUGGAAUUCCAUGUGUAGCGGUGAAAUGCGUAGAUAUAUGGAGGAACACCAGUGGCGAAAGCGGCUCUCUGNUCUGUCACUGACGCUGAGGCUCGAAAGCGUGGGUAGCGAACAGGAUUAGAUACCCUGGUAGUCCACGCCGUAAACGAUGAGUGCUAGGUGUUAGGCCCNUUCCGGGGCUUAGUGCCGGAGCUAACGCAAUAAGCACUCCGCCUGGGGAGUACGACCGCAAGGUUGAAACUCAAAGGAAUUGACGGGGGCCCGCACAAGCGGUGGAGCAUGUGGUUUAAUUCGAAGCAACGCGAAGAACCUUACCAGGUCUUGACAUCCCGAUGCUAUUCUUAGAGAUAGGAAGUUACUUCGGUACAUCGGAGACAGGUGGUGCAUGGUUGUCGUCAGCUCGUGUCGUGAGAUGUUGGGUUAAGUCCCGCAACGAGCGCAACCCUUAUUGUUAGUUGCCAUCAUUAAGUUGGGCACUCUAGCGAGACUGCCGGUAAUAAACCGGAGGAAGGUGGGGAUGACGUCAAAUCAUCAUGCCCCUUAUGACCUGGGCUACACACGUGCUACAAUGGUCGGUACAACGAGUUGCGAGCCGGUGACGGCAAGCUAAUCUCUGAAAGCCGAUCUCAGUUCGGAUUGGAGGCUGCAACUCGCCUCCAUGAAGUCGGAAUCGCUAGUAAUCGCGGAUCAGCACGCCGCGGUGAAUACGUUCCCGGGCCUUGUACACACCGCCCGUCACACCACGAGAGUUUGUAACACCCGAAGUCGGUGAGGUANCCUUUUAGGG